CCCUUAGAUGUUCUGGGCUGCACACGUGCUACACUGGCAGGUUCAGCGAGCUUCAUGCCCUGAUCUGAGAGGAAUGGGAAAUCUUUUCAAAACCUGCCGUGCUUGGGAUAGAUGUUUGCAAUUAUUCAUCUUCAACGAGGAUUGCCUUGUAAGCGCACGUCAUCAGCGUGCAUUGAAUACGACCCUGUAUUCUGUACACACCGCCCGUCGCUCCUACCGAUUGAAGUUUUCGGUGAGUUGACAGGAGGAUUUUUUUGAAACUGGUUCGCCAGUGGAUUUUAGAUCCAAAUGCCAGCGAAUCGAUGGCUUUAGAGGAAGGAGAAGUCGUAACA
rnacentral:rRNA from 1 species